rnacentral:lncRNA from 1 species
GGCCCUAUUUGAAAUAAAAAAAAAAAAUCUAAAAGUAAACAUGAGUUCUAAAAUAAAUUUCUGAUAAUUAAAUACUGAAAACCUAAAUGCGGAAGAAAACAUAAACUGUCCCCUAUGGUGAACCACGUCACUUAUUUUCAUUCGCCAACUUGUCUUUACCUCUACCUUUGCCUGAAAAUUUAAACAUAGAAAAGAGUGAAUAUAAAUUUAUACUCAGUAAAGGACCCACUAUUAGUCCCACUACGUGUAUGUUAACUUCCCAUUAGACCCACUAUUACCUCUACCUUUGUGGGGUGAUACUUGGUUCAGGGACAAUAGUAAAAGGCAUAGGGGUCUGUAAAAAUGUUGAACUGAUGAUUGGAGAUUGGAGGGUGAUAGAUAACUUCUUACCUUUGGAGUUAGAGGGGUAGAUAUGAUUCUCGAGAUGCAAUGGCUCCAUUCAUUAAGGGUUAUGGAAGUGGAUUGAAGGACC